rnacentral:lncRNA from 1 species
UAUGAUUUAUAUAGAUAAAAUAUGAUUCCUUAAAUCAUUAUUGUCGAAGAGUUUGGAAUUAGUUUGUUUUGGGUUUAAACCUCAGGUAUGUGCCACAGCAGCUGAGCGUUCAGUGCAUCUGGAAGCCUUGAGAAGAAUUGCAGAGAGUCUGCAGCCCACAGAGAGUGUUCUUCUCAGCACCAGCCAUCAGAGAACAGACACAGAGAGGGCGGAGAACGUUCAACGCCACACAGACUCCACAAGUGACUGCGCACCAUGCCAGGAUGGCAGGGGGGGAGCAGUCAAGGAUUGUGUCCUGCUGAGAAAGACUGUACUGGUGGAUGACCUGAGAGACCGCGUCCACUCACAGGUACACGUGAUCAUGUGCUGCGUUUUUUCUCUUUUUGAUCAGUGCAGUAAAUUUUUUUUAUCAGUAUUUUUUCAGUAUUCUUUCUCAGUCUCUCGCACCAGCAUGACUUUACACUGGCGGGUACUUUACUUGAGCAUCUGUGAGCUCUAUACCUGCCCAGUGUUAACAUGGCACAUUUUCUUGUCAUGGUCAAGUUUGCUUGUAGCCAAACAUGGAGAUAAACCUUAUAAGAACUUCUCAGCUCUGAUUGGAUGUUGCUGACCUUCUUAAGCACGUGGACAGCUCAGAGGAGUUAAUCUGCUGAGAUUGGCUAGGGCUUUAAUCUGCUGAGAUUGGCUAGGGCUGCUGAAGAGUGUAUUCGCUUGUUCUGGGGUCGUUUGACCCCUUGUAAUGACGCUAUGGUUGUGCUCUCUCAUAGGCUGUUGUCCAGACCAACAUCGUGGAGAUAAAACAGAUACCAGAGAGGACCGUCAUCCAUCCCUGUUCAGCACAGGAAAGGGUUACAGCACAGGAAACUCAGAGCAGGUAAACAUUUUAGAAACAAUUUAGCUUCAAGAAAUAGAUAUAUUUCCAUGUUCUGUCAAUACUAUAUAAGGAUGUAACUGGCUUUUCUAUAUGCAAUUUAUAUGCCGUUACCUUUUAAAAUGCUCAUAAUGAUUACUUUAUGAAAUAAAUAUAUACAUUUCAAUUUUAUUCAUUAUUUAUUUAAUAGUUAAACUCUAAAAAUUCAUCUUUAUAAGCAUUUUAUGUGCACAUUUUUUCAGCUACAGUGCUGCACAGUCAGUCCUCCAGCGGCAACUGCUUAACAACAGUCAGCAGCUGGAAUCAGAGUUUCCCAUCAGCCCCGGCAACAAUGCCAAUAUCUCUGCUGACUCACUGAGGACCCAACUCCAGAACAUACUGGUUAGUCUCCUUCACCACUUUCCUGCUUUUUGGGUGUGUUUUGUAUACAAAUAGCUAUGUGCUCAUUUAGGCUCUUAAGGACCAGACGGAGGCUCUGUGGCGUGAGUUUGAGCUUCAGUGUUCCCAGAGCUCUCAGCACAUGGAAGAUGGCUGUAACAUGGAGCAGGAGAGAGCUCAGCUCAUUCAACAAUGGAGGGAACAACAGAUGUGCAUUCAGGCCAGGUGAGACACAUGUACAUGUAGGCAAUCCAGAAUGGGACAAACUCUGUGCAUAAGGAAAAAUGUUUUAAUAUAAACAUUUGUCAUUCAUUUCUAGUAAAGUAUCUAUGAAAAAGUUAAGAGUAAAUAAAAAGAAAAGAACUAUUUUGUUAAACUCAAUUGUAAUCAGUUCUCAGGCCUCCCAUGUGGAGCUCUAUUUUUGUGGUCUUGUCAUUCGAAAGCAAGUUCUAAUCUGUCA